rnacentral:rRNA from 1 species
AGGACGAACGCUGGCGGCGUGCCUAACACAUGCAAGUCGAACGGAGUUGAGGAGCUUGCUCCUUAACUUAGUGGCGGACGGGUGAGUAACGCGUGAGUAACCUGCCUCUGAGAGGGGAAUAACGUUCUGAAAAGAACGCUAAUACCGCAUAACACAUAUUUGCCGCAUGACAGAUAUGUCAAAGAUUUUAUCGCUCAGAGAUGGACUCGCGUCCGAUUAGUUAGUUGGUGAGGUAACGGCUCACCAAGACCGCGAUCGGUAGCCGGACUGAGAGGUUGAACGGCCACAUUGGGACUGAGACACGGCCCAGACUCCUACGGGAGGCAGCAGUGGGGGAUAUUGCGCAAUGGGGGCAACCCUGACGCAGCAACGCCGCGUGAAGGAUGAAGGUUUUCGGAUUGUAAACUUCUUUUCUCAGGGACGAAUUCUGACGGUACCUGAGGAAUAAGCUCCGGCUAACUACGUGCCAGCCGCGGC